CCUACGGGGGGCAGCAGUGGGGAAUAUUGGGCAAUGGGGGCAAGCCUGACCCAGCAACGCCGCGUGAAGGAAGAAGGCUUUCGGGUUGUAAACUUCUUUUCUGAGGGACGAAGAAAGUGACGGUACCUCAGGAAUAAGCCACGGCUAACUACGUGCCAGCAGCCGCGGUAAUACGUAGGUGGCAAGCGUUAUACGGAUUUAAUGGGGGUAAAGGGCGUGUAGGCGGGAAAGGAAGUCAGAUGUGAAAACUCAGGGCUUAACCCUGAGCCUGCAUUUGAAACUGUUUUUCUUGAGUGCUGGAGAGGCAAUCGGAAUUCCGUGCGUAGCGGUGAAAUGCGUAGAUAUGCGGAGGAACACCAGUGGCGAAGGCGGAUUGCUGGACAGUAACUGACGCUGAGGCGCGAAAGCGUGGGGAGCAAACAGGAUUAGAUACCCGUGUAGUC
rnacentral:rRNA from 1 species